GGNUNGGGCUCGACUCUCCCACCCUUUGUGAACGUACCUCUGUUGCUUUGGCGGCUCCGGCCGCCAAAGGACCUCCAAACUCCAGUCAGUAAACGCAGACGUCUGAUAAACAAGUUAAUAAACUAAAACUUUCAACAACGGAUCUCUUGGUUCUGGCAUCGAUGAAGAACGCAGCGAAAUGCGAUAAGUAAUGUGAAUUGCAGAAUUCAGUGAAUCAUCGAAUCUUUGAACGCACAUUGCGCCCCUUGGUAUUCCGGGGGGCAUGCCUGUUCGAGCGUCAUUACAACCCUCAAGCUCUGCUUGGAAUUGGGCACCGUCCUCACUGCGGACGCGCCUCAAAGACCUCGGCGGUGGCUGUUCAGCCCUCAAGCGUAGUAGAAUACACCUCGCUUUGGAGUGGUUGGCGUCGCCCGCCGGACGAACCUUCUGAACUUUUCUCAAGGUUGACCUCGGAUCAGGUAGGGAUACCCGCUGAACUUAAGCAUAUCAAUAAGCGGAGGAA
rnacentral:rRNA from 1 species